UUCUUUUUCUUUUGUUUGGUACAUUUAAGUUCUAAAGUGAUUAAAUUUCUUGGUGAGUAACUCUUUUUGCGUUUUGGGUUAUCAAAGUGAUGCAGAUAAUCUUUAAUCGGCCCAUCGGAUUAGGAAGUUGAAGGAUUUGGAGAGAUUGUUGAGAUAUGAACAUAGAUUGGUGGUCACAAUUCGGGGAAAAGUUUUCUCGGAAACUCCCAUCAACUGUGAAAUUGGUGGUUUACAAGGAGUAGUUGUGGAGCAAAGGGGAGGUGAAGAACAAUAUUUUCUGAAACGCAUCAAGGAUGAUGAAAUGGAAGAAGGAUUAUAAAUUCAUGCCUUCUAUCACAAAAGAAGUUCCAUGGUAUUUGGAUGAUGGGACUUUUCGUGUGAAUGUGGUGGGAGCUCGAAGAGCCAGAGGCUUUGAGUACCCAGCUGAGAAUGCAGCAUUUGAAGGAUCAAAGAGAAGCUGGCCCCAAAUUGAGACAUUAGCUGAUCUCGAAAACC